rnacentral:sRNA from 1 species
UUUUUUUGUAAAUUGUAUCUAUCUAUAAUAUAUUUUUAUUUUAUAGUUUACAAUUGUUAUUAAGUAACGUCCUGUCAAACCCGUCCCGCCAAACAUGUCCCGUAAAAAAACUAUUUAUUUAUAUUAAUAUUGAUCUUAUUUAUGAUAUGUUUAUAAAUCAUUGUCUAUAUAUUUUUGUCGAUGCGGGACGUUGAACCCACACAUUUUUUGCCAAUUGGUUAAUAUAUAUUCAUUUUUAAAAUUUUGAAUCAUAAAAUAUGACGGAAAAAAUUAAGAUUUUUUUAAACUCUAUAUAUUAUAUAAUGAUGUUAAAAAUUGUGAUAUA